rnacentral:lncRNA from 1 species
CAGCUCGAACCGGCAGUAUAAUGUCUCCUAAGGAUGUUGUUGAUGAUCCGUUGAAUCCAGAUAAGAUUCGUCCGGGGUUUUCGAGACCCGCGAGACUGUGUCCCAUAUGGCCAAUGACUGAUGCUUGUACUAGAUCGGCUGAACUGCCUGGAUCAACCAAGAUACGUCUUACAUCAAAAUCUCCUAUUUCUAGAGAGAGGAUGAG